rnacentral:rRNA from 1 species
UACCUACGGGAGGCAGCAGUGAGGAAUAUUGGUCAAUGGCCGAGAGGCUGAACCAGCCAAGUCGCGUGAGGGAUGACGGCCCUACGGGUUGUAAACCUCUUUUGUCAGGGAGCAAAGGGCGCCACGUGUGGCGUUUUGCGAGUACCUGAAGAAAAAGCAUCGGCUAACUCCGCGCCAGCAGCCGCAGUAAUACGGAGGAUGCGAGCGUUAUCCGGAUUUAUUGGGUUUAAAGGGUGCGCAGGCGGAAUGUCAAGUCAGCGGUAAAAUUUCGGGGCUCAACCCCGUCGUGCCGUUGAAACUGGCGU